rnacentral:ncRNA from 2 species
AAAUCUAUUUAUCAUUUCUCUCAUAUAUCCCUAGUAAUAAGGUCUAGGAGUCUCUACCAAACAACCGUAAAUUGUUUGACUAUGAGUGAAAUUUACUCAAGU